rnacentral:rRNA from 1 species
GACGAACGCUGGCGGCGUGCUUAACACAUGCAAGUCGAACGAAGAGCGAUGGAAGCUUGCUUCUAUCAAUCUUAGUGGCGAACGGGUGAGUAACGCGUAAUCAACCUGCCCUUCAGAGGGGGACAACAGUUGGAAACGACUGCUAAUACCGCAUACGAUCUAACCUCGGCAUCGAGGAAAGAUGAAAGGUGGCCUCUAUGUAUAAGCUAUCACUGCAGGAGGGGAUUGCGUCUGAUUAGCUAGUUGGAGGGGUAACGGCCCACCAAGGCGAUGAUCAGUAGCCGGUCUGAGAGGAUGAACGGCCACAUUGGGACUGAGACACGGCCCAGACUCCUACGGGAGGCAGCAGUGGGGAAUCUUCCGCAAUGGGCGAAAGUCUGACGGAGCAACGCCGCGUGAGUGAUGACGGCCUUCGGGUUGUAAAGCUCUGUUAAUCGGGACGAAAGGCCUUCUUGCGAAUAGUGAGAAGGAUUGACGGUACCGGAAUAGAAAGCCACGGCUAACUACGUG